GCUGGGCACGGUGGCUCAUGCCUGUAAUCCCAGCACUUUGGGAGGCCGAGGUGGGUGGAUCACCUGAGGUCAGGAGUUCAAGACCAGCCUGACCAACAUGGUGAAACCCCAUCUCUA
ensembl:misc_RNA Metazoa_SRP Metazoan signal recognition particle RNA